AGGAAGCCGGUGUGAAUCCGGCGCGGUCCCGCCACUGUUACCGGGGAGUCCCCCUCAGCGGAAGGUCACGGCGGCCCUGCGGGCCGUUGGAAGGCCGAGGGUGGAUGGUGAUCCGGCAGCCAGGAUACU
rnacentral:ncRNA from 4 species